rnacentral:rRNA from 1 species
AUGGACCACCAAGGCUCUGUACUGGGGGUGUGUCGCACACACGAAGUCGUUCAGAAACGCAUCGACAACAUAAUAGAGACCAACGCGAAGCUGGUUGAUGUGGUCCAGAUCAUGCUCCAUCGCCGGCUCCUCCCUUGUCAAGAGAGGGCCAAGCCUAUGUGGGAGCAUGAGCCCGAGGAUCCGGCCACCAUGCUACAACUCUAUGGCACGACCCCUGACAAAAUAUGGGGUCAAUUAUUCCAGCCCCAGAAGGAGUGGCCAGUCGAGGGGAAGGACAUCGGCCUUGACGCCGUGAACCCCCCAAAGGAGGUGAGUGGCAUUUUUCUUCGAGAAGUGUUCGGAUAUUCAUACCAUGUUCAAUUCGGUUUAACCUUGUAUGCAGAUUUUUGCAGGGCUGGCUUGCCAAGGACAAGAAGAUCAGCGGCCUGGCGCCUCUGCCGAAAGGGCCCCGAUCAGAGCAGCUAG